UACGAAGGGGGCUAGCGUUGCUCGGAAUUACUGGGCGUAAAGCGCACGUAGGCGGCUUUGUAAGUUAGAGGUGAAAGCCCGGAGCUCAACUCCGGAAUAGCCUUUAAGACUGCAUCGCUAGAACGUUGGAGAGGUGAGUGGAAUUCCGAGUGUAGAGGUGAAAUUCGUAGAUAUUCGGAAGAACACCAGUGGCGAAGGCGACUCACUGGACAACUGUUGACGCUGAGGUGCGAAAGCGUGGGGAGCAAACAGG
rnacentral:rRNA from 1 species